ACCUGCUGGGCUGGAGCUGGAGCUGGAGCUGCGAAUUCGGAGUCCCGGUUCCCUGUGCCACCUGGCGAGCUCAGCAAACUAAAAGUCUCUUUGUCUUCAUCGUUUCCGGCACUGAUGUGAGCACAUCAUAAGCACAAGACCUGGACACCUUUACAAUCAGAGGGCCUAGGACUGGAGCUCUGGAUCUGACCGGAGCAAAGAGGAAGCACGCAAAUCCGGACAUGACGACGAGGAGGCAGUAGAGACCCAUCCUCAACUACCCCCUGAGUGCCGAUCCCACCUGUGAAAGGGGAGGAGCAGAUCUGGGGAAGGGAUAUGCCCAGAGGAAAUCAACAAGACCAAAGAGACGUCAGAGUCCUGAUGGCCAAAAUCAGACACCAGCUUUCCUGAGAAGGCAGAAGAGAGAGCCCCAUAGAAGCAGUGGGGGCUCAGAAGGUGCCCUUGUUGAGCUGCUUGAGGCAGAAGGCACAGACGAAGUGCUCGGGGUGGAACUUCUUGGCCAUGGCGGUGAUGCAGCGGCCGGUGAUGGGCUUCUGGCAGCCAGAACACAGCGAGCCGCGCCGCUCGUGGUAGUGCACCUCACAGUAGGGCUGCCCGUCGUGCUCGAAGAAGCUGCCGUUCACGAAUGGCGUGAAGCAUUCCUGCCAGGCGGAGAGAGGGGCUCAGGGAGCUGCCCCUCGGGCUAGAGCUGCACCCUGUGUGAUGGGGCCGAGGUGGGCAUAGUCGGCACGCUCGGAGUGACUCCUACUUGCUAGGCGUUUCCCAUGUGCCGUGUUGUCCUAAACGCUCAUUUUUCAUUUUUAUUUUAUUAAAUAAAUUUUUUUUGUAGAGAUGGGGGUCUCACUAUAUUGCCCAUGCUGGUCAAAUGUGGCCUCCUGCAAUCCUCCCACCUCGGCCUCCCACAGGGCUGGGAUUAUUUAGUUCUCCCAACAGGGGAGGCAACUGAAGCACACAGGUGAAGUAACUUGCCCAGGGUCAUGCAGCUACUGAGGUCACAGCCUGGAUUCAUACACAGGUCUGACUCCUGAGCACUUAGCCAGGUGGCUGUAACAGUGUUCCCAGAAACACAGGUGUGACACUGGUCUGUAGUCAAACUCUGCCUCCUAGAUUCUCAUUGGAGAUUCACAUCACAUAUAGGUAGAAAAGGCUCUGAGAGGGGCCGGGUGAGGUGGCUCACACUUGUAAUCCCAGCACUUUGG
ensembl:lncRNA PXN-AS1 PXN antisense RNA 1